rnacentral:rRNA from 1 species
UACAGAGGGUGCGAGCGUUGUCCGGAAUCACUGGGCGUAAAGGGCGCGUAGGUGGCGCGACAAGUCAGUGGUGAAAGCUCGACGCUCAACGUCGAGUCGGCCACUGAGACUGUUGGGCUUGAGCACUGUAGAGGCUAAUGGAAUUCCGGGUGUAGCGGUGGAAUGCGUAGAGAUCCGGAAGAACACCGGUGGCGAAGGCGGUUAGCUGGGCAGUUGCUGACACUGAGGCGCGGACAGCGUGGGGAGCAAACAGGG